rnacentral:rRNA from 1 species
GUCGGUGCCCAUGGAGCUGGGGAAACACCUGUUACCAUUUCGAACACAGCAGUUAAGCCCAGCAUCGGCGAGGAUACUGCCUAGCGGGAAAGUAGCACGGUGCCGAAU